rnacentral:rRNA from 1 species
UAAUAGUGUAUAUUAAAGUUGUUGCAGUUAAAAAGCUCGUAGUUGAAUGUUGGUGUCGAACGAGCGGUCAGCUUCGGCUGUACUGCUCUCUCGACUCCUUCCUUCUGUGGACUACGUCGCACUUUACUGUGUGGCGCUAGGACGCAGAUCGUUUACUGUGAAAAAAUUAGAGUGUUAAAAGCAGGCCGUACGCUUGAAUACAUUAGCAUGGAAUAAUGGAAUAGGACGUCGGGCCUAUUUUGUUGGUUCUAGGACCGUCGUAAUGAUUAAUAGGGACAGUUGGGGCCGUUUAUAUUCCGUAGUCAGAGGUGAAAUUCUUGGAUUUACGGAAGAUAAACUACUGCGAAAGCAUUCGGCAAGGAUGUUUUCGUUAA